CAAGUGGGAGGAGUGCACGAAGGCGGUGGAAGACAGCGGCUGCGAGUCGGACGGGGCGUGUAGCAGUGCGUGCACUCCCGUUGCCCAGUGCGAGUGGGUAGUUGACGCUGGCGUACCCGGUUCGGAGAC
rnacentral:SRP_RNA from 1 species